GGGUCAAUAGGCGAGAAGGAGAGAGAGAGAAUGAGGCUGCAUUGCAGAGGAGAAGGAGGCAAAACAGAGCAAGAAGCAGAAGAGGCCGAGGACAUAUGCAUGUUCCUGAUUAGAUAAGAGCAACACUUGUUGACCAUGUUCUCAGUCUUUCAAAGUCUGAAGCUUGUCGAAGGGUGCAGCCAAAUGCUGGGAGAACAACUGUGUCAAUCAUUCAGACUUUUAAUCAGCAGAACAGGACUGCAAGACCCGUUUUCAAACCUGAACAAGAGGAGGCUAUUUGCAACAUGAUUGUAGAAAAACAGCGCCAUAAGACUAAGGGAGAUAAAGACUGCCAUUAUAGAGGAUGACUAUAUCUUUGAAAACAUCCAGUCAGCAUCUCAAUCAUUGACAGGGUGCUGAAAAACCCCCAAAUGAAUAUGAAACAGCUGUACACUGUUCCACGUGAAAUAAAUAGUGAAAGAGUGAAGAAGCUGUGCUACCUGUAUGUACAGGUAAAACAUGUACGAGCAUGCACUAACUGUACCUCACAGUAAACAGUGCAGUAAAAUGUGACCUUCACACAUUUGCUGUGGCUGUAAAAAGAAGAUGCCACAUGUGCUGUAUACAUUGUUAUAUCCAAAAUGACAAUGCGUGUAAACCAUAAAACUCAUUUUGUGUCUUCUGGAUAUAACAUAUAUUGGAACUGGAAGCAAGUGAACCACCGCACAGCUUCAUCUAGAUUGAUGAGGCAGGCUUCAGCCUAACGAAACGCAAAAGGCAUGGUCGAAAUAUCAUCUGUCACAGAGCUACAGUUAAUGUGCCAGGCUAACAGGGCGGGGACAUAACCAUGGGUGAUGCUAUCUCUGAGAAUGCUGUAGUUAUAUGUUCCCCAUAUUGGGCCAUACAAUACAGAGCGUCUUGUCAUCUUUUUAGACACCCACUACAGGGAUCACAUCCCUGAACAAGAGAGGGGUCAGACUGGAGCUGACUUGCUAAAGUAUGUGAUAGUUUGGGCUAAUGCCAGUUUCCAUUGCUCUAAUAUCAUCGAGCAAUGGUUUGUGACUCCCAACAGGAUGCUGAUGGAGUUCUUCUCACCCCACUCUCCAUUCCUUAACCCCUCUGAGGAAGUUUUUUCAGCGUGGAGAUGGAAAGCAUAUGAUCGCCAGCCACAUACACAGUUGACCCUUCUGGGUGCUUUGGAUGCAGCAUGUGAACAUAACAGCAGAUGCCUCCAGAGGCUGGAUAAGACACUCAAAAAGAUUUUUCCCAUGCUGCAUCGCAAGAAAAGGUAUUCGUUAUGAAGUGGGUGACAAUCUGUGGCCCAACAGAUAGGACUGCACUGUAAUUCCUACAGCACAGCUUGUAAGGAGAUUGUCCCAUGUUCACAUUUCUACUUUUUUUUUCUUUGUGCCAUGCAGUGCUGUCUUUUCCUUUCUGUGUCACAAUGACAUGUUCUGUCAACAAAUUACAGUACAAACAAUAAAAGCGUAAAAUGUGAA